GCAAGCGGGGGGCAGGCAGUUGCGGACGAACGACAUCAGGGCGCGGCCAGCGGCGCCAUGGUCCCGGGCCAGGAUCAGGAGCCACAGGGCCUGGCCGUCCACCAGGGCGCGCCACUCGCGGCACACCCGGCGGCAGCGGGCUGCGGGCGGCAGGGACACGACUCGGCCCCUGGGACACGGCAGACGCGGCCGGGAACCGGCGGCGGGAAUCCGGGCUCUGUCCCUCGCGAUGCGCACCUUGCAAUGUCCCUAAUUCUGCAGAAGGCGCCUGGCACUGAGCAACCGCAGUUAUUUGGGUCCAGCAUGCGGGCAGGAGACCUCCUUGCGUUAUCUCGUUUAAACUUUUCCAUCACCUUUAAGGCGGGUCAUGGUUAUCCUCUUUCCCCAGAAAAAAAACAGACUCCAACCGCCAAAAAUCAGCGUUCUAACCCCAAACACCAGACAGUCUUCAGGGACAGUCUGACUGCGGGCCCGCGUAGCAAUCCCAUGAAGUAGGCACUGCUCUGCUCCCAUUUUACAGAUGAGAAAACAGGCCCAACACAAGCCAGGGGACUUGCCAGUGGUCACCAGACUAGUAGUGACAGAACUGGGAGUUGAACCCCGCUGUCUAGCUCCAGAAUCCCCGAUUUUAACCCAUGUAUCAGCUCUGUUCAAUAAGUUUUUUGAUUUUUCUUUUUAGUUAUUCAUGACAUCAGGAUUCAGUUUUACAAAAUUAAAAAAGCAGACUAUGAUUUGUUCAAAUUUGGUUCCCAGUAUUUCCCUUUCCCUUUUCCCUUCUCUCUCCAUCUUUCUGUUAUUUACUUUUAGAUUUUUUUUUUUUAUUAAUGUCUUCUGGAUAUCCAUGAUGGUAAGUCUCACUGUGGUACCUUUCAUAAAAGGACACAGGAAAGUUAGGUCAGAUUGAUUCCUCGGUUCUUCCCUUAUCCAGCGCCCCCCCCCCAUUCCCCUUCCUCUAGUCCAGGGGCUUUUUUCUAUUUUGAUGGAGUCUCCCCUGCCCCUCCGCACUUUCUUGCUCUCCUUAUUUUGGACUGGCUCCCACAUAUCAGAGAAGGCACUGGACCUUUGCCUCUCUAGGUCUGGCUUAUUUCACUUACCAUCACAGUCUCCUCGAUCAAAGUUACGAUGAGUCAUUUAUGUCAUUUUAAACACCAACAAACAAAACUGGACAUGGAUUCUUGGCCACAUGGAACUUUCCUUCUAGAGGGAGAGGUAUCGUGAACAAACAGACAUAACAAUAAGCGAAUUAUAUAGCACUGGGGAAAUUAAAAAUAAGACCUCUGGCCAGUUCCCCCCCAAAUACUCUCCACAAAUGUGGAAAAGAAUGAAAGCUUUAAAAAUGAGUAGCAUUGAGCCAGACCAUAGAGGGCAUCGGCCAUGAAGAACCAACUGGCAAUGAAUAGAGGACAUCCUGUGCUAGGCAGUGAUCAAAGCUGUGGAAACCUAGCAGGGAAGGGGGUGGGGCAAGGGCAGGCGAGUGUGCUGGGGCAGACCUCGGGUCAGCGGGCUUCUCUUCACCAGUAUUUAGCGGCAGAGUCAAUUGGUGGAACCCUAGCACGGCUCAUUUUCGGAGCAGAAAAUAGCGAUGGGCUGGAGCAGUGGUCUGGGUUAUUUAGGGUGGGGCAGGAGGGCGAUUCCUGGGGUUCAUUGUAUUGGGGUCCUGCUGAUCCCUUAGAGUGGAACAGGGAUGUGAAGGACAUUGGGACCGAAGGUAGAUGCACUCAAUUCAAGACCCGUGGAAAGGAUGGCCUGAGUUCUCUCUCACUCCCAAGCUUAUUUUUUUUAUUUUUAUUUUUUGGUACCAGGGAUUGAACCCAGGGGCACCUAACCACUGGGUCACAUCCCCAGCCUUUUUAUAUAUCUUAUUAGAGACCGGGUGGCGCUGAGUUGCUUAGGGCCUUAUGCUAAGUUGCUGAGGCUAGGUUUGAGUUCGUGAUCCUCCUGCCUCAGCCUCCCAAAUUGCUGGGAUUACAGGCCUGCUCCGGGCUACACUCCAGUCUUUGCACCAAGUGCAGAAUAAAGCUGUGAUGCCUUUGACUUAACAUCUCCAGGAAGGAACUGGAAUGAGAGAAUGAGACUGUUGUGGGUUCCCACAAAAGGACAGAAAGCAAACGCAUUCCCCAGCCCUUAGCCUAUUUGUUAAGAGCACGGUUUCCUCCACCCUGUGGGCCCGCAGAGCCCGCAGAGCAGCUGAACAGCUCGGUCUAGUCACAAGGCCAAGUGUCUGCAGGAUGGCAGCAUCCACAGCAAUUCCUGGGGUAAACUAAGCACCCAUUCCCCAAGGCCAGGUGUUUGCGCAAGAAAUAAAAAAUCUUUUAAAA